rnacentral:sRNA from 1 species
UUAUAGCCCGGAUGGCAUCGUAAAUCCUUUUUUGGUGGCUGAGGCUCCCGAAGCCACCAAAAAAGAUUGCAGUGAACAGCCGGCAGGGUU